rnacentral:rRNA from 1 species
AGUGAACGCUGGCGGUAGGCCUAACACAUGCAAGUCGAACGGCAGCACAGUAAGAGCUUGCUCUUACGGGUGGCGAGUGGCGGACGGGUGAGGAAUACAUCGGAAUCUACUUUUUCGUGGGGGAUAACGUAGGGAAACUUACGCUAAUACCGCAUACGACCUACGGGUGAAAGCAGGGGAUCUUCGGACCUUGCGCGAUUGAAUGAGCCGAUGUCGGAUUAGCUAGUUGGCGGGGUAAAGGCCCACCAAGGCGACGAUCCGUAGCUGGUCUGAGAGGAUGGUCAGCCACACUGAAACUGAGACCCGGUCCAGACUCCUACGGGAGGCAGCAGUGGGGAAUAUUGGACAAUGGGCGCAACCCUGAUCCAGCCAUACCGCGUGGGUGAAGAAGGCCUUCGGGUUGUAAAGCCCUUUUGUUGGGAAAGAAAAGCAGCAGGUUAAUACCCCGCUGUUCUGACGGUACCCAAAGAAUAAGCACCGGCUAACUUCG